AUGAAAGCUGCAAAGUUGCAAAGUUAUGUGAAACUACAACUUUGUAAUGACGAAGUCGGACAGAAAACCAGAAAUCCUACGAGAAAUAACUCUGGUGUGAUAAAGAAAUCAAUGAUUGAAGUUGUAGAAGACAAAGUUGUUGAACCGGCUACAGAAGUUGAUGAGAAGCUAAUGAUGACAGUUGCAGUUGGUAGGAUCCGAUCUGCUUCAUACAGUGUACAUGGUGUUGAUGAUCUUGGUAUCUGA